rnacentral:rRNA from 1 species
AUUGAACGCUGGCGGCAGGCCUAACACAUGCAAGUCGAACGAGUGGCGGACGGGUGAGUAAUGCUUGGGCAUCUGGCUUAUGGAGGGGUCUAACUACGGGAAACUUUAGCUACUACCGCUUACCACAGUUUGAGCCCAAGUGGGAUUAGGUAGGUGGUGAGGUAAAGGCUCACCAAGCGGACGAUCGCUAGCUGGUCUGAGAGGAUGACCAGCCACACUGGGACUGAGACACGGCCCAGACUCCUACGGGAGGCAGCAGUGGGGAAUAUUGCGCAAUGGGGGCAACCUGACGCAGCCAUGCCGCGUGAAUGAAGAAGGCCUUCGGGUUGUAAAGUUCUUUCGGUAGCGAGGCGUUAACUACAGAAGAAGCACCGGCUAACUCCGUGCCAGCAGCCGCGGUAAUAC